AACGAACGCUGGCGGCAUGCCUAACACAUGCAAGUCGAACGAGACCUUCGGUUCUAGUGUCGCACGGGUGCUUAACGCGUGGGAACCUGCCCUUAGGUUCGUAAUAACUCCCCGAAAGGGGUGCUAAUACCGGAUAAUGUCUUCGGACCAAAGAUUUAUCGCCUUUGGAUGGGCCCACUGUGGUUUAGCUAGUUGGUGCGGUAAAAGCCUACCAAGGCGACUAUCCAUAACUGGUCUGAGAGGAUGAUCAGCCACACUGGGAGUGAGACACGGCACAGACUCCGACGGGAGGCAGCAGUGGGGAAUUUUGGAGAAGGGACGAAAGCGUAAUCCAGCAAAGCCGCGUAUGUGAAGAAGGCCUUCGGGUUGUAAAGCACUUAUGUCCGGAGAGAAAUCCUUGGCCCUAACACGGUCGGAAAAUGACGGUACCGGAAGAAUAAGCUCCGGCUAACUACGUG
rnacentral:rRNA from 1 species